GUCCCUGCAGCGCAAUGGAUAGCGCGUUGGACUUCUAAUCCAAAGUCGUGGGUUCAAUUACCUCCAGGGAUG